UAGUUCAACGUUAUUGGCUCAUCGGUGUACUAAUUCACUUCCUCUGCCUAGAAAUCCUGAUCCAGUUGAUUGCAAUUAUUUUGCAUCCAUGAGAACAUCUGAAGAAUACGAUCCGAUUCAGGAAUACCAAAGGCGAAUGAGCGAACUAUAUGGUGAAAAACCAAAAACCAAGAUGGGAACUUACUUUCAUGAUUAAUUUUCGUUCUUUUGGAGUCGAACGAUUUUUCAUUAUUCAAGCACGCAACCCCCACACAUCAAAUGACACCACACUAAUAGCAGCGAACAUGUAGGACUUUUUGCCAACUUCUAGUGUGACUUCGAGCAAAAUGCAGGACUUUUUGCUAACUUCUGGUGUGACUUCGAGCUACUGCGAUCAUUCUCAAUUGCAUUUUUGUCACCCAGGCCUCAUUACCAGAGCCUACAAUUCAUUUGAAAACACUGUUUUUUUUGCAUUUUAGAGAAAUCUGUUUUAUUUCACUCUAUGUAUUUUCUGUCAAAUUUGCACAGACUAUUAUAAACAAUUUUUGUUUCUUUGUGUACAUUACUCUGAGGUUCCUUAUUAUGUGUUAAAAAAGUGUAUGUGUCGUCCAAUGUUCUAUACUUUCAUUUCAAACUUGUGACGUAAAUUGUAUUUCAGUUAUUACAUUAUAUUUUCUUAUUCUCA